rnacentral:rRNA from 1 species
AGGAUAAACGCUGGCGGCGUGCUUAAUACAUGCAAGUCGAGCGGCAGCAUGCACUUCGGUGUGAUGGCGAGCGGCGGACGGCUGAGUAACGCGUAGGAAUAUACCCCAAAGUGAGGAAUAACUGCCCGAAAGGGUAGCUAAUGCCGCAUGUGGUCUUCGGAUUAAAGCUUUAUGCGCUUUGGGAAUGGCCUGCGUACGAUUAGCUUGUUGGUGAGGUAAUGGCUCACCAAGGCGAUGAUCGUUAGCUGGUCUGAGAGGAUGAUCAGCCAGACUGGGACUGAGACACGGCCCAGACUCCUACGGGAGGCAGCAGUAGGGAAUUUUCCACAAUGGGCGAGAGCCUGAUGGAGCAACGCCGCGUGCAGGAUGAAGGCCCUUGGGUCGUAAACUGCUUUUCUCUGUGAUGAAUAUGACAGUAGCUAGAGGAAUAAGGAUCGGCUAACGUCCGUGCCGAGCAGCCGUA